rnacentral:misc_RNA from 1 species
UCCGGUUUAUCACCGGCGGUCCCUGUCGAGUCCCCAUCAGCCUUUCGGCCAUGCUGGCAACAACAGACAAGGGUUGCGCUCGUUGCGGGACUUAACCCAACAUCUCACGACACGUGCUGACGACAGCCAUGCAGCACCUGUGUCCAGGCCCCGUAAGGGGAGGAAUCCAUCUCUGGAAACCGUCCUGGCAUGUCAAACGCUGGUAAGGUUCUGCGCGUUGCUUCGAAUUAAACCACAUGCUCCACCGCUUGUGCAGGCCCCCGUCAAUUUCUUUGAGUUUUAACCUUGCGGCCGUACUCCCCAGGCGGAGAACUUAGCGCGUUAGCUGCGCCACCGAGACGCUAAGCGCCCCGACAGCUAGUUCUCAUCGUUUACGGCGUGGACUAC